rnacentral:lncRNA from 1 species
GAUGAUGCAGCAUACCUCCCAAAGGCUGUGAAACUGCCAUUUAAACAGGCAUCAACUACGUAUGUACCCACAGGCACCAAAGGGCUCUAUGAACACUCUGGUUGUUGUAUGUCAGAUAAUAUAUCCAGGAGGAAAACAACAUGAAAAGAUUGCUUAAAUGAUCAAAACAGAAACAAUGAAUAAUGACAUGACACUGAAGAAUUUCUGAGCAUUGAACCAGUAACAAAGCACACAUCUCAAUUUUCCUCAAACAGAACGUGUCAGAAAAACAAAGCAAGUCAAAAACAAGUAGCACAGACAAGUUUUCUGUCUCACAGUUUUGGUCUUUUGCCUGCUACUUUGAAGGUCCAUGUGCCGUCUGUUGGGUCAGAAAUUAAUCAGCGCUUGAGUUGUUAACAUGAAGACAGAGCAGGAUAAGGUUUUGUCUUUGAACAAGGAUUGAAAGCACCAGCCCGAACUAUCUUUUAAUCUUAUGUAUUAUAGAUUAUGCUAAAUUAGAUAGGACUUGAAAAAUUGCCUCUAAAUGUCCCAUAAUUAUUAAUCAUUAUCCAGAAUCGUCCAGCCCCCACAAGAUGAUCAAAGAACAUUUGUUGUCUUUGUGCUGUGUUGCUAGACACUGGUAAAGGUUAUGAUAUUCUCAUUCAAUAC